UUGGGUGGUUAUUGCGCCGGGGUUCCACCUCUUCCCAUUCCGAACAGAGAAGUUAAGCCCGGUUGCGCCGAUGGUACUGCAAUGCAAUGCGGGAGAGUAGGAGGCCGCCUUCU
rnacentral:rRNA from 1 species